GACGAACGCUGGCGGCGUGCUUAACACAUGCAAGUCGAACGGUGAAGCUCCAGCUUGCUGGAGUGGAUCAGUGGCGAACGGGUGAGUAACACGUGAGCAACCUGCCCCUGACUCUGGAAUAAGCGCUGGAAACGGCGUCUAAUACUGGAUACGAGAAGGGUCCGCAUGGGCACUUUCUGGAAAGUUUUUCGGUUGGGGAUGGGCUCGCGGCCUAUCAGCUUGUUGGUGAGGUAAUGGAUGACCAAGGCGAGGGAGGGUAGCCGGCCUGUGAGGGCGGCCGGCGACACUGGGACUGAGACACGGCGCAGACUCCUACGGGAGGCAGCAGUGGGGAAUAUUGCACAAUGGGCGAAAGCCUGAUGCAGCGACGCCGCGUGAGGGAUGACGGCCUUCGGGUUGUAAACCUCUUUCAGCAGGGAAGAAGCGAAAGUGACGGUACCUGCAGAAGAAGCACCGGCUAACUACGUG
rnacentral:rRNA from 1 species